CCCGGUGAUAUUUUAACGGCCGCAGUUAGGAGCUGUGCUAAGGUAGCGUAGUAAGUUGUCCUUUAAAUGGGGAAAGGAAUGAAUGGUUUGACGUGAGAACAUCUGUCUCUGGAAAAAUUUGAAAAAUUUUCUUCUUGGUGAAAAGCCCAAGAUGCUUGUAAAAGACGAGAAGACCCUUUCGAGCUUGAUAAAGCAGCUUACUUUAAGGAGGCUAAAGUUUGGUUGGGGCAACUCAGGAGCAAAAGAAGACUCCUGGAAGAUAAUGAAGAUCCAAAUAUUUUGAGAAAAAGAAAAAGCUACCGUAGGGAUAACAGCGUUAUCUUCUCUGAGAGAACAAAUUGAAGGGAGG
rnacentral:rRNA from 1 species